AAUGAUCUCUUGAACAAGUGAUGAAAAUUCUUAAUUCUCGCCUCCAUCCAGGAGCAUUUCUUGAUAUCGGCACUCUGGACUGCAAAAAGCUUUCUCACCUCUGCAUUGCAAACACAAAAAAACAUUAAAAACUGAUCAGAAUAUGCAUUAAAACCUAGUGUAAUCGUGUUUUUAUCUUAUA